ACACCUCAACUCUCAUGGUCUUCCAUGAUGAGCUUGGACUUUGGGGGUUUGCUGGCCCUGCGGCCGGCUCCUCUCAAAUGAAUCAGCUUGCCAGUGUUUGGUGGCAUCACGGGUGUGAUAACUAUCUACGCUCGCGGUCGUCUGCCAGGUAACCCUCAGCGAUGAGGGUUCAUUGGAGCUCAUAAACGUCUCUCCUCGGCGAGGACAACUUUUGAAC
rnacentral:misc_RNA from 2 species